CAUGAUUACGGUGAAACUGCCGUCGCUGUUGCUACACGAGAAAUCAACAUUGCAGAAGAGUUACCUGGCGUCAAACAAAAGUAUAUUAUUACUGCGGAAUCGAAAGAAAAAAUUGAGAAAAGCAUGAGUUUACCAGAAAUGGAGGAAUUUGCAAAAGGACGAAUUUUGCCGAAAUACGUUGCAGAAAUAGUUGGAUCGACUAAAAAAACAUUAACUCAAAAAUGUCAUAACAUUCUUCAGACCACAAAUACCUGGAACUUUAUCAAACAAAACAGAUCCAUUAUCGGACCAGUAACACAAAUCGUCAACGAAUGUUUUGGAUAUAACAUGAGCAGCAGUAGAAUGUUUAUUGAUGAAUGUCACAAUUACAUCUGCUGCAUCCCGGAUGGUGUUUCAGCGGAUGGAAAGUCAAUAAUGAUCAUUAAAAAAAGGCGAUCAAAGGCUCUUUACGCGAGAAUCCCUCAAAGCUGGGUUGCAAAU